AUUGAACGCUGGCGGCAGACCUAACACAUGCAAGUCGAACGAGUGGCGGACGGGUGAGUAAUGUCUGGGAAACUGCCUGAUGGAGGGGGAUAACUACUGGAAACGGUAGCUAAUACCGCAUACCAUCGGAUGUGCCCAGAUGGGAUUAGCUAGUAGGUGGGGUAAAGGCUCACCUAGGCGACGAUCCCUAGCUGGUCUGAGAGGAUGACCGGCCACACUGGAACGAGGACAGGGUCCGAAGCCCUAGGGGGGGCGGCAGUGGGGAAUAUUGGACAAUGGGCGCAAGCCGGAUGCAGACAGGCCGGGUGUAGGAAGAGGGCCUUCGGGUUGUAAAGUACGUUCAGCGGGGAGGCGUUACCCGCAGAAGAAGCACCGGCUAACUCCGUGCCAGCAGCCGCGGAAAUA
rnacentral:rRNA from 1 species